rnacentral:lncRNA from 1 species
GAGAAAGAUUUAGUUAAGUUCCAUCUAUGGCACGAACAGCAUGAGGGUUUUGAGAGGCCACACAGCAAGCCUGACCUCUUGUUUAGUCUCAAGGAGAGGGUGGCCCUGAAGAUUUGAGGCCAAAUGAAGAUUCAGAGCCAAGACAACAACUGAACCUGGAUCUUCAUUUAACCUCUAAACUCAUCCUUUUGUCCCCAUUAUUCUAAACUCAUCCUUUUGUCCCCAUUAUCUGCGUACUUGAUUUACUCGGACGGGAUGUUCCGAGGAACAGGUUGUUGUGCACAAAAAAAAAAAAAAAAAAAAAAAAAAAAUCCCUGUCUUAACUCUGCUAGUUCUCUGGCUUCCUCUUUAAAUAUGUCCUCUGCACUUUGUAUUGUGACCAGAGAGAAUAUUUAGUCCUCUCUCCUCUCUAGAAUGUUAGAUCAUUACUGGAGUAGGUAAUAUUGCCAGUUUCUUACUAUAAUGUUUUGCAAACACAUAGAAGAGUAUAGGUCUAUGGUGGCCAUUCAAUUAAUAUCAGUUGUUAUGUUUGAAAAUGUAAAUAAAUAAAUAAAUAAAAAGGAAAUUCUAUUAAUUUGGGAGACUUGCCAUGGAGUUGAAAGAUGCCAUCAAUACAAAACAACAUUAUAUUAAAAAGAGGGCAAAUACCCAGAAUCCUAGGGCAUUACCUCUGAGCCUUUGAUAAGUGGGGAUUUAGUAAAUGAUCUAAGACUUCUCGAGGCUCAGGACAAAAGAUUUGACUUCACUCUUAGAGGUAUUCACCAUGGGUGGUGAGUUCUAAAACCAGGAUGCUAGGAAGACAACAGUAUUUAUAUGCCUAGUAGUUCUCCAAGGAAUAUGAUAAGCUGUAGAGCAAAGGCUACUACCACCCCACAUGGAAGCUGAAACCUAAAGUCUCCUGAUGAUCAUCAUAUAAAAUACAAUAACACAAAGCAUAAUGUCAACAUCACAGUGACAACCAUGGACAACAAUUGUUGUGAUUUAAACCUGAACUGUCAUGGUUUGAACUUGAACUGUCCCCCCACAGGCUCUUGAUCUGUAUGCUUGGUCCCCACUGUUAGUGCUGUUUUGAGAGGUUCUGGGACCUUUGGCUGCUAAAACUUAGCUGGAUGAGGUAGAUUCCUAGGGGAGGAUCCUUGGAGAACCCUCUGCUUUCAGUUUGUCACUACGUGAACAGCUAUCCUUUGCCAUGUGUUGUCACCAUGAUGUUCUACUCAAAUACAUAAGGCCAAUAAAGUGCGUACUGUAUCCUCUGAAGUCAUAGAUGAAAACAAUUUUCCUUAUAAGUGAUUUCCAUCAGGCAUUUUGGUCAUGAUGAUGCUUAAGCAACUAAUGGAGCAAUGAAGCAAAGACCAAAGCACAGAACUCUCAACUCUCUUCUCUGUGUGUAUCUAGGGUUCGGCAACAAACCUGAACAGUCCCCAGAAUUCUCAUGGAGGCAUUAUAUACAACUGGCCCCAGUUCCAGGCCUGGAUUAGAAUCCAGGCCCUUACCAUGUGCCUGUAUUUCCUGUGAAAACCUUGCUACAUUAAAAUAGAUUGUGUCUUGUUUAAUAUGCACCUUCUAGCUAACUGUGACCUCCCUGCAGGCAAGGGCUCUAUCUUGCUUACUCGCUGCUGUCUUCUCAGGGCUUAGAAACACUUGGGACGGAAAACCAAGUCAAUAUAUGUAAAAUUAAUGAAGAGCCGAGGAAAUGAAUGGUUGAGCCCGCCCCCCAUUCAUCACUCUCUCUGUUUUUAGAAAUAUACUGUCAGAGUUCAAAAGUUUGAAGAGGACCACUGCCAUCAGUGGUGGCUCUCUGUGAAGCACCUUGUGUCUCUCUCCUGAGAGAAUGAUACCACCUCAGUAGAAAACAUAAGCCUGAUUUGAAUGAGGUAUCUAUUUUACUCAACUCUAUGCCUCCAAGGUGUCUAGCAUGGUGCUUUGUUAAUAGUGAAAAAAAAUUCUAAGAAGCUAUGAGACAAUUAGAUGAAUUCUAUCACUAUUGAAGUAUAUAUGUAUAUCUUGACCUAAAGAAGUCACAGGAAAUCAUGUGUGGUGGUUCCUCCCAUCAUCCCAAGCUCAAGAAGCUAAAGUAAAAGGAGUGCUAUGAGCUCAAGGCCAGCCCAAGCUAAAAAGUGUGUCCAGCCCAGUCUGGGCUACAGUAUAAGAUAAAAACAACAACAACAACAACAACAACAACACAAUAAUAAAUGAAACCACAAACCCCAAUGUAGAAAUCACUAAAGUGGGAUUUCAGAUAAGUGCUGGCUAUCUAGGUGUCAGAGAUAAUGUAAAGAAAAAGUAGAUUUUAUAAGGGCAAUUAAAUCUUAACAACUUUUUUUCAUUCAACGAGUAUUACUGAGAAUGUAUAAUAAGCUACACACUGCCCCAGGUAUUUGGUAGACAUUAAUGAAUAAGAGGAACAUUGGCCUUCUCUUCUGUGAUAUUCCCUGAGCUUGAAGGGCAGGGAUUGAUGGCAACAUCUCAUCUGGGCUGAGCACUCAGCCUAGCCCCUUCCUUUCAGCACUAGGACCAUUGUCAGCUAACACUUCCUAGUAUGACCCAAACCAAAGGAACAGACACAGACCUGGAGCGUUAACAUAUUGCUUUUGACAUUCUAAAAUUAUGCAAAGACUUUGGAAAGCCAUUUGACAUCCAAAGUGGAAACUUCUGGUUUCUUUGGAAAGCGGCUGUGCUGAAUCGUGUUUUGCUGGGGCAAACAUGUGAAGGAGUGUUUUCCUGAAGCAGACACAAGUGAAAGAAUGUUUUGCUGAAGCAGACACAGGUAAAAGGAUGUUUUGCUAAGGCAAGGAUAUGACAGGAUUUGUGAUGAAGGAUUCUUCACUAAUGCCAUGCAUGUAUUGGUCCGCCUUACAUUGCAUAGUUAAGCUUGAUUUGUCUUGACUUCAUAGACAGAAACACACCAAAAUCUUCUCGUGGUGUGCUGGUGGCUUCUUGUCACUUCUGCAGACUCAGGCUGAUUGGCAAAGUGAUGUCAGCUGAGACAGACUCACACGCUGAGGCAAGACCCAUAGAGGACACAUGAUAUUUGGAGGAAGUCUAGCUAGGUCUCAACAGACCUUGGAGAGGCCUGUAGGUAUAGCUAUCUUUACAACACUUAUCUUUGCUUCAUUGAGAGAGGCAUGGAAAAGAACUACUCUUGGUGUCCCUGGUGGUCUUGGUCCCUCUUGCUGACUUGUGCCAAUUUGGCUGAGGCCUUGCUGUCUCUGCUAGGACAUGCCACUGAAGCAGAUUUUCUAACUCAAUUCUACCGAACUGGACUGCUGGUUUAUCCAUGAAGUGUUUGUGAGUGGAUUGAGCUGCUGCUGCUGACCUGUGAACUGAACUGCUGAUUUCCUGACAGUGCAGAAAGGAUUUGCUCCAAAGAACCAUUUCUAAAUAGGUCUACUUCACUCAUAUCCGAAUAACUCUUCUUUUCUACUACCUCUGGUGAGUGGUGCACUAAAAGGGAGGUUAAAGUGUUUAAGAACCCAUAUUAGAAGUAGGUUUUGAAAAAUUAAAGAAAACACAGCAUUUUAUGAAGUUAAACAUACACUAGUCUUAUCAUUUACCAAUUUCAUCCC